UCGCAUGGUGGGUGCUGGAAAGAUUUAUCGGUGGGGGAUGGACUCGCGGCCUAUCAGUUUGUUGGUGAGGUGAUGGCUCACCAAGACGAUGACGGGUAGCCGGCCUGAGAGGGCGACCGGCCACACUGGGACUGAGACACGGCCCAGACUCCUACGGGAGGCAGCAGUGGGGAAUAUUGCACAAUGGGCGAAAGCCUGAUGCAGCGACGCCGCGUGGGGGAUGACGGCCUUCGGGUUGUAAACCCCUUUCAGUAGGGAAGAAGCGAGAGUGACGGUACCUGCAGAAGAAGCGCCGGCUAACUACGUGCCAGCAGCCGCGGUAAUACGUAGGGCGCAAGCGUUGUCCGGAAUUAUUGGGCGUAAAGAGCUUGUAGGUGGCUUGUCGCGUCUGCCGUGAAAACCCGAGGCUCAACCUCGGGCGUGCGGUGGGUACGGGCAGGCUAGAGUGUGGUAGGGGAGACUGGAACUCCUGGUGUAGCGGUGAAAUGCGCAGAUAUCAGGAAGAACACCGAUGGCGAAGGCAGGUCUCUGGGCCAUUACUGACACUGA
rnacentral:rRNA from 1 species